CGCCCCAUAGGACCCCAGUAUUGCCCCUAUAUCACACUGCUGGGGUUCUCCCAUGCCCAGCUGCACUGGUGACGCCCUGCCUUGCUCCCACUGCUAAUUACUAAUGAAUCUUUUCCCCCCUUCUCCAGGCUCUGUCUGCCCCUCCCCAAUUCCCCCCCAGCCCCACUGCAGCCCUGCCCACCCCACAGCGCCAACAGCAGCUCCAUGGACCCCGAAACGCCCCGGCCGGCCGUCCCAGGGCCCAACACCCAUCUGCUGGCCCGCAAUUUAUGGCCUCCAGAGCCCUCAUGGGAAAGCGGGGAGGGCAGCGCCAGCUUUGGGCUGCUGCUGGGUCUGAGCCUGCCUACAGCCUGCGGGGUGCUGUGGGGCUGCAGCCACGCAGCAGAGCUGAGGGACGCCGCCCAUUCGGUGCCUGCGGGGAGCAUCGGGGCUGC